UUCUAAAGAAUUCAAAGUUCAAGAGGUUUGGGGCGCUGGAUCUCACAUGGCAGCAUGCCACAAGGAUCUUGGUGAAAAGACUUUAAGGCUGACAACUGUGCAGCACUUCUGGAAAGUUAAGUGCUCCAAAGGAAGAACAUGAAUUCUUGGUUCCACUAGAAUGAAACAGACUUGCAUCAUCGACACAGCUACAGACUACAAUGGAUAGAUGUAUACACAUUGACUUUGCCAGGCUGCGCUCGCAUUUUGUUUCAUCAUGUCCCCUGAAGUGCCUUAAGUUUUCACCAACUGUUCAUUAUGUCUCGUUAACAAGAUAAAGAGCUGCAUGCCAAGCUAGAUGUGAAGCUGGGAAAACAGAAGACCCUGAUUGAUUCAAUGAAACUAUCAACGCUGCAUGGGGCGCAUUAGCGCAGGGUAAGUGGUUGUGACAGCUCCCAUGUUAUCUGCACCCAACUUGAAGUGACAGUUCUACCAUGCGCCCAUAAAGCAGGCAUCUGAUUGUCUACUGCAAUUACAUGACUGAAGCAAAACAGGAAGAGGAAAAAAGUUAUGCGGUGGUAACGGAUCCACAUGCAAUUAAAAGCUUUACUUUAGAAUGGCGAGAAGCAAAUUUAGGUGGAAAUGCUCCACUUGAGGCAGUGUAAUUGUCAAAAACAUUUGUGAGUCUCCGAAUUAAUAUGUCUCCGAGGCAAAAGUGUUUUACAGAUGCAGCUAUGCAUAUUAUCAUGGAAUGAGGUAUUCUGAGCUAAACACUAACAUCAAAGGCCUGUCACUCUUACUUAGUGAUUGGAAUAUGCAAUGGUUCAGAAAAGAGAGUCGAGCAUUGCCUUUGUAUCACCCUCUUACUUGUGCAUAACAUUGGUCUUGCAAUAAGAUGGUAGGAUCGCAGGUGUGGGUCUGUGCACAGAGUCUUCGAGAUGCCCCUUGCUCACUUCAUCAAUCACAGAGGCUGUCUGAUUUUAAAGGUGCUAAAGUACAUGUGUGUGACCCCAGGCACCGUGAUGGCACCUUAACACUGACACGGAUGACAGAAUUUUCCAGAAAUAGACUCUCUGCUGCACGGAACCUUGUCCCAGCUGCACAAAACGCACUCCUGAGAGGGAUAUGUGGGCCUUGUGCACCAUGUGUGCGUUGAGACUUUCAUUUAAGGGGUUAUGGAUUUGGCUUGAGGGUAACAGAGGUUUAGGAGGUUUGGGGGGAGUUAAAGACAUGAAAAUGUCCUCCUGGAUCUCAAGAGAUUAUUGGCCAACCAUAGAAGGUACAUUGGCAUAUAACUGUUCUUUAGUAAGGGAGUCUAGAGUAGCACUUACAACUAUGUAGCAAUAUGUUCUGUGAGAUCUGGUAUUUACAUUGAGGAGCGACUACCAUGCUAAAUUUGGGAUCCGUCUUUUUAUGCCCUUCUAACGCCUCUAAAGCCAUGGUCACACUAGACUUUGAGCAUGCAAAAGUAGUUUGAACAGUGCUCCGAAAAGGGGCGGGAGCAGGAUAUGACCUCACACACCAAGGUUUUCACAGUACACUCAACCCAUCAUAAUUCCAUUCUAUUUAAGUGAUUACAAUAUAGUAAUAAGUAUAGUUAAUCAAUUAUGCACACAUAUAAGUCUCAUGCAAUAAAAAUAUCACAUAAAAUAUUUUUAUGAUUUUUGUAAUCUUUUAAGGUUGUGUUGUAUAAAACAGGAUGCCACAACACUGCUAAAAUUAGAGAUCACUAUAAGUUUAGAGGUCACUUUGUAAAGUUUUGAUCAUCUAUUCGUCUCAUGCAUUCACAUCAUGUGAAUUUGCAGGUCAGAGUGCACCAAACUUGAACUUUGCUUCGCAGUGAAAUGCGAAAAUAUCAAAAGUCUAGUGUGACCACGGCUUAAGGCACUUAGUUCCUCAUCUAGUAUACUGUAGCAUACUCAUGAGCACAGGGGAGAAGUGGCCAUACUCGGAACAGCACCACAUACUGGUAAAAAAAAAAACUUUAAUUGCUGUGUGGAAUACAAUGAUUCCCAUCCUUACAUGGUCUGCUUUUGUGCAUCAAAUCUGCUUAUAACAUUUGAAUUUACAUUUGUACUUAUACAAUUUUGGGGGUUACACAUGGUGUUUCAUUGCUUUGGCCCCAUAAUAUGGAAGCAGGCACGUGCGGGGGUGGGUUGGUUUUUUGGGUUGUGCUUGAGCACCUGCCCCUUUUCCCCUUGAUACCCAAAGUGCGUGUGGACUUCUCAGUGGAGCGGUGUGCUUGAAUAAUUAUAUUAUUGUAGAAUUGUAUAAACUUGCUAAAUCAUCUAAACCAACAACAUGUAUGUUAGACCCUAUUCCAUUUAAGCUCCUAAAGAGGUGCUUCCAGAAGUCAUAGAUCCUCUUCUGACUAUUAUUAAUUCCUCAUUGUCAUUAGUUUAUGUAGCAGAAACCUUCAAAUUGGCUGUUAUUAAGCCUCUUAUCAAAAAAAAAAAAAACACAACUUGACCCCAAAAAACUAGUUAAUUAUAGACCGAUCUCGAAUCUCUGUCCAAGAUACUAGAAAAGGUAGUAUCCUCACAAUUAUAUUCCUUCUUAGAGAAAAUUUUUAUCUGUGAGGAUUUCCAGUCAAGAUUUAGACCUUCUCAUAUAACUGAGACUGCUCUCUACUUAGAGUUACAAAUGACCUACUCUUAUCAUAUGAUCGUGGUUGUAUCUCUCUAUUAGUGCUAUUGGAUCUUAGUGCUGCGUUUGACACUAUUGACUACAAUAUUCUUUUGCAUAGACUAGAACACUUUGUUGGCAUUAAUGGAAGUUCAUUAGCAUGAUUUAAAUCGUACUUAAAUGACCGACCAAUUCGUAGUAGUGAAUGAAGAAGUAUUAUAUCGAUCACAAGUGCAGAAUGGAGUCCCUCAAGGCUCAGAACUAGGACCAUUACUCUUUACAUGUUACCCUUGGGAGAUAUCAUCAGGAAACACGGUGUUAACUUUCACUGUUAUUAUAUUAUGUUUUAUAUUUCUUCUCGGCCCGACGAAACAUACCAGUUUGAAAAACAAACUGAAUGCAUAAUCAUUAUAAAAAACUGGAUGAUGAGAAAUUUCUUACUGUUAUAUAUAAAAAAAAAAAAACAUUAUUAGUUUCAGUUAGUUAAUUAUAGGAGCUAAAAAAACGCUGUCUAAGACUUGAUGGCUGCACUGUCAAUUCCUGCCAUUUGAUUGCAAUCUUGCUUAUUACUUAUAAAGCCCUGAAUGGUUUAGCACCUCAGUACUUGAAUGAGCUCUUGUUACAUUAUAAUCCUCCAUGUCCGCUGCGUUCUCAAAACUCAGGCAAUCUGAUAAUACCUAGAAUAUAAAAAUCAACUGAGGGCGCCAGAUCCUUUUCAUAUUUGGCACCUAAACUCUGGAAUAACCCACCUAACAUUGUUCGGGAGGCAGACACACUCUUGCAGUUUAAAUCUAGAUUAAAGACCCAUCUCUUUAACCUGGCUUACACAUAACAUACUAAUCUGCUUUUAAUAUCCAAAUCCGUUAAAGGAUUUUUAAGCUGCAUUAAUUAGGUAAACCGGAACCGGAAACACUUCCCAUAACACCCGAUGUACUGACUACAUCAUUAGAAGAAUGGCAUCUACAUUAAUAUUAGUCUGUUUCUCUCUUAUUCUGAGGUCACUGCAGUCACAUGGAUCCAGUACGUAUCCAGACAUGAUGGUGGAUCAGCACCUAGAACGGACCUCUACUGCCCUGAAAGACAGCGGAGACCAGGGCAACUAGAGCCCCAGAUACAGAUCCCCUGUAAAGACCUUGUCUCAGAUGACCACCAGGACAAGACCACAGGAAACAGAGGAUUCUUCUGCCAAUCUGACUUUGCUGCAACCUGGAAUUUAACUGCUGGUUUGGUCUGGUCAGAGGAGAACUGCCCCCCCAACUGAGCCUGGUUUCUUCCAAGGUUUUUUCUCCAUUCUGUCACAGAUGGAGUUUUUGUUUGUUGCUGCUGUCACCUCUGGCUUGCUUAGUUGGAGUCACUUCAUUUACAGCGAUAUUGUUGACCUGAUUGCAAAUGAUUGCAAAGACACUAUUUAAACUGGACUGAUAUGAUAACAUCACUGAAUUCAAUGAUGAACUGUCUUAAAUUGCCAUUUUGCAUUAUUGACACACUGUUUUCCUAAUAAAUGUUGUUCAGUUGCUUUGA